rnacentral:lncRNA from 1 species
UUUCUCGCUUCAUCCGCGGUCCCUGUCUGUUUUCGUUAUGGCGCCUUGUACUUCUACCCAACGUUGCCCGACCCCAUCUUCCCAGCCCACCAGCUCGGUCCGCAUCUCCGGAUGUUUCGUGAGAUACCGAGCCUGCCGGGAAGGAACCGGAUUUUUCCGUCUGGUCCAAGGAAGCACGGGUUAUGGCCACAUGCGCAGUGAUAACUCAGGGCCCCGCGCCUUUUGACGGCUGUUGAUGAAGAUAGUGAGGAGGGAGACCAGAAGAUAAUGGACAACGAUACAGCAGAAGGGCCUGGUAAGCUCCGUUUAGUUUGCAUUACCUGGGGAGACCUGAGGCAUGUUUCCAAGGGCUGUGGCUGCCUGU